rnacentral:rRNA from 1 species
GGCUCAGAACGAACGCUGGCGGCGCGCCUAAUACAUGCAAGUCGAGCGAGAAGACGUAGCAAUACGUUUGUAAAGCGGCGAACGGGUGAGGAAUACAUGGGUAACCUACCCUCGAGUGGGGAAUAACUAGCCGAAAGGUUAGCUAAUACCGCAUACGACUCCUGGUCUGCGGAUCGGGAGAGAAAGCGAUACCGUGGGUAUCGCGCUCUUGGAUGGGCUCAUGUCCUAUCAGCUAGUUGGUGAGGUAACGGCUCACCAAGGCUUUGACGGGUAGCUGGUCUGAGGGGACGAUCAGCCACACUGGCACUGCGACACGGGCCAGACUCCUACGGGAGGCAGCAGUAAGGAAUAUUGCGCAAUGGACGAAAGUCUGACGCAGCGACGCCGCGUGGGGGAUGAAGGUCUUCGGAUUGUAAACCCCUUUCGGGAGGGAAGAUGGAGUGGGUAACCACUUGGACGGUACCUCCAGAAGCAGCCACGGCUAACUUCGUGCCAGCAGCCGCGGUAAUACGAAGGUGGCAAGCGUUGUUCGGAUUCACUGGGCGUACAGGGAGCGUAGGCGGUUGGGUAAGCCCUCCGUGAAAUCUCCGGGCCUAACCCGGAAAGUGCAGAGGGGACUGCUCAGCUAGAGGGUGGGAGAGGAGCGCGGAAUUCCCGGUGUAGCGGUGAAAUGCGUAGAGA